rnacentral:rRNA from 1 species
UGAACGCUGGCGGCGUGCCUAACACAUGCAAGUCGAACGAAGCACUGCGGAUGGAGAUUCGUCAAAAUCUGCUUUGACUUAGUGGCGGACGGGUGAGUAAUGUGUGAGCAACCUGCCUUUCAGAGGGGGACAACAGUUGGAAACGACUGCUAAUACCGCAUAAUGUAUUGGAAGGGCAUCCUUUUGAUACCAAAGGAGCAAUCCGCUGAAAGAUGGGCUCACAUCUGAUUAGCUAGUUGGUGGGGUAACGGCCUACCAAGGCUGCGAUCAGUAGUCGGACUGAGAGGUUGAACGGCCACAUUGGGACUGAGAUACGGCCCAGACUCCUACGGGAGGCAGCAGUGGGGAAUAUUGGGCAAUGGGCGAAAGCCUCGACCCAGCAACGCCGCGUGAAGGAAGAAGGUCUUCGGAUUGUAAACUUCUUUUAUGAGGGACGAAGGACGUGACGGUACCUCAUGAAUAAGCCACGGCUAACUACGUGCCAGCCGCAGC